rnacentral:pre_miRNA from 1 species
GUAGUACUCCCUCUGUCCCAAAAUUCUUGUCUUACAUUUGUUUAGAUACGGAUGUAUCUAACACUAAAAUGUAACUAGAUACAUCCGUAUUUAGACAAAUUUAAGACAAGAAUUUUGGGACGGAGGGAGUACAAA